GGCCGCGAGGGGGCGGGGGCGGGAGCGCGCCCGGGCGGGCUGCCCCGCCGGUCGGGAGAGGGGGUGGGGAGGCGGCGAGGAAAAGUAAAGUGACAGCUGGGUCCCGCGCGCAGACUGGGCUCUGACGGGGGCAAGAGAAAGAGGCCCACUGCAAUAUGCUGUGAAGAAUACAUAAGAAGUCAAACUGUUGACCUCUUUUCCCCAGCCCGUUCCAAAACUACAUCCCUGAGGAGUUGUGCACCUCUACGGAAAGUUCAGAUGAAAGAGCUAAUUCCCCUUGAUCUCUCUUCUUGUUCAGAGUGGAGGAAAAACAUAUACCAUCCCUUCCAUCAAUCCUCAGCAUAACUUUGCCAGGGACACUGGUAACAAGCUACUUUUACCUCAGAAGUUGGAGAGUAUCACUUGACCCACAUUGUGUAUGUGUAAAUAUCUUUAUUCAGUGUAUAUACAAUAUAUUCUUAAUUUGACUCUCAAAAAAAAAAAA
rnacentral:lncRNA from 1 species